GAUGGCGGCCGGCGGCGGCGGAGGCAGCAGUAAGGCCUCCUCCUCGUCGGCCUCGUCCGCAGGGGCCCUGGAGUCCUCGUUGGAUCGAAAAUUCCAGUCGGUGACCAACACCAUGGAAUCCAUUCAAGGCUUGUCGUCCUGGUGUAUAGAAAAUAAGAAACACCACAGUACAAUCGUCUACCAUUGGAUGAAGUGGCUCCGGAGAU
rnacentral:lncRNA from 1 species